UUAAAUUAUAUGCAACAUUCUCUGACUGGAAGAAAUUUGUUUAACAUUUAAACCUAUUUUCUGCACAUUCCAGCACAUAAAAUAAAAUAUUUUUUUGUGUUUACACUCACUCUUUCAAAUAGAUGCAAGUAAAACACAGCAGAAAAUAAAUAAAAUCAAAGACUAGCGGUCCUGUUGCUCUAUUUUCACCUGUAAAGCAGGACUGGGGUAGGCGGAGGAGGUUUACCCUGGUGCAGGUGCUGCAGCGGUCAGUGGAAGAAUCCGCGAGUUUCUCUGUGAAUUUCACAUUACGUCGUAGCGCACUCGGUGCUUGCUUGGAAGUUUAGGGGUUUUUUUGCUGUAAAAAGAAGUUUUCUUCCCACGCACAACGGACACUAAUGUUUUUGUCACUUUUUAUGGAAUCAAACUCAAAAUAAGACAUGGCUGGUAAGGACAUGAGGAGGAAACAGUAGGAGCUGUGUGAGGCUACUAAAGGCAGUGGAUCCCUCAGCAGCUGGAUUACAAAGAGCACAGUCUCAGAUCAACACAGCCCUGCCUUCCAGCACUAUCAGCAGCAGGAGCAGCAGCAACCCCUCAACAGCAACAUUGUACCCAUCAGCAGUGUCGACAGUAAGUGGGAUGUUUUCCUUCCAGCCCUGGGGUUACCUUGGCAACUCAAAGGAAAGAAACGUGCUCAGAGGCUGUGCAAAUUGAGGCGUAGGCCGAAUUCUUUCCUUUACAAGCCGCAGGGUCCAUGUCAAAGCCAGCCGGCCAGCCAGCCACCUAGCCAGCCACAUGUCAAGAGACACCAUCCAAGGCUUGUCUCCGGUGAGGGCUCUCAAAAAGAAGAGCCGUGGCUGCUCAGGUCCUCGGGCAGACUGUCAGUGGGUGCAGCUACAGGACAAGUAAAUGUGAAGUAUCAAAUCUCAGGCGGAACCAGCUGGCAAAACACUGUGACAAAUCUUUAAGCCUACAUGACUCUCGUCUUUGACUUCCAUUUACCAGACAGCAAUAUCAGUCA
ensembl:lncRNA